UACGAGGGGGUCCUAGCGUUUGUUCGGAAUCAUUGGGCGUAAAGGGUGCGUAGGUGGCCAUUCAAGUCAGUUGUGAAAUCCCCGGGCUCAACCCGGGAAGUGCUUCUGAUACUGUUUGGCUUGAGUACUGGAGAGGAUAGUAGAAUUCCUGGUGUAGUGGUGAAAUGCGUAGAUAUCGGGAGGAACACCAGUGGCGAAGGCGACUACCUGGCCUGUUCUUGACGCUGGGGGCGCGAAAGCUAGGGGAGCGAAACAGGGAGUU
rnacentral:rRNA from 1 species